rnacentral:lncRNA from 1 species
UCUAACUCCAUUAAGUUGGGCCUCUAACCCAAUCCCAUUCUUUACCCGGGCACUCCACCACUUACCCAAAGUCAGUCUACUGACUACUGCAGUGCUGCAGUCUACUUCCUUUGGGUUGGGGGAGUUUCUUCAGUAUCGUCCCUUCCAUCAUUCGCCAGAAAUAUGUUAUAGGACCCCAACACUUCCCCAAAGCACUAUAGUCCCAUCUGUGGUGGCCAGAAAUACGUCACAGGAAAAGGGCCCCGAUCCAGACCCAAAGAGAGGGUUCUUGGGUCUCGCGCAAGAAAUAACUCAGGGCAAGUCCGCGGUGCAAAAUAAAAGCAAGUUUAUUAAGAAAGUAAAGUGGUGAAAGAACAGCUACUCCACAGACAGAGAAGGGCGUUCCUGAAACUAAGAGAAGGAACGUAUCCACCCUAGGUACAAUGCUUGUACACAUGGGGAGAGGUGUUCUGUUACAAGGGUUUGUGAUAAUUAACUUUAAUUAUUACAUUUUGCAAGAAUCCCUAUUACUACCUUUAAAGCAAAAUUAGGAACGCCUUUGUUCUCCAGAUAUCCAGCUAUCUGGACACUCGGGUCUCUUCAGUAAACAUUAAUUUGUUCCCUUAACCGUAAGUAUCUGAAAGCUAGGAAUAUCCUUCUGAGAAUGCAGGCCCGUAAGUCCCGGCCUCAUUUUUCUAGCCCUCACUCAAAAUGGGGUCGCUUCAGGUUCCAACGUCUCUGACAGUCAUACUACAUAUGACUCAGCCACGUCAAUGGAAAAAGUAGACUGGAUAGUGACGUACCCGCAGAAAACGAAUGCAACAAUCUGUCAUACAGAUCUGACGGCAGUCAGAUUCUGCAGUGAAGUAGAGGCGGUAAACUUGAAUGCAACGAUCUUCAUACCGCAUCCCACAAAGCCACGUAAAUCCAAAAGCAGUCCGACUCUCGAUAGUGAAACACAAAGCCACGUAAAUCCAAAAGCAGUCCGACUCUGGAUAGUGAAACACAUGCGGGAAACUUGAAUGGAAAGAUGUUUAUACUGCCUCGGAUGGAGACACGUAAAUGAAAAAACAGUCCCGCUUGGGAUAGUAAAGUAGGGGCGCUAAACUUAAAUAUAACGAUCCGAAUAUCGCAUCUGAGUGUGCCAAGUAAUAGCAGAGACCAGUCAGAAUACGGAUACUGAUGUGGGUGCAGUAACAUUUAAUCCAAUGACCGUCACACCGCAUGUGACUAAACCAAGUGAAACCUAAAGCAGCCACACUCUCCAAAGUACGCGCUGCUGACUUAUACACAAGUGUGCUAACAGGCCCCGAAGAUCCGAUGCAAACGCGUGGAGGUAACGAAAGAAGCUCCCAUUCCACCUUGUCAGCAGACAGCGUUUGAAGAUCUCCUUUGCUGAUGUAACGCGAAAUAACAGUAACUGAUAGAGCAAGUUCCGCACUUAACCUGAGCCUAAACGACCAAGGCGCUGCCGGCAUUAGCGUUCGUCCACGGCCCUCCUCCUCUUAGAGCCAAGUGUAUUAAUAGGUCCCGACAAUCUGAGUGGAGAUGACAAGAGGCUCCCAUUCUAUGAGUGGAGAUAACAAGCUGAUGACGAAACCCGGGUGCUCCCCUCAUUGGCACCCAGCAGGCAGCACCGGCCCGCUCCCGGAGCCCUCCAUCCUGCGCUUUCCCAAACCCCCAUCAAAACACCAACCCAGUCUCCUCCCUCUCAAGCCAUUUUCCAACCUGCCUGGGAGCCACUCUGAUCUCCCAGAACACCUCAUUUUGUGAAUUAU